UUUCUUUUCUGGGUCUUCAGCAGCUCUAAUUGUUAUACCAGAAGCAGUACUUUCCAGGUUGUAUCUCCACAGCAGUUCUUUCCAUAGAUGAUUGUGAUGCUGAAAAAAGUCUAAUCCCUAAGUUCUUGGGUACAACUUUGGUACCAUCUCCAUAUUACCUGUUAACUUGGAAAUAACACAGAACUAUCAAAUAGUCAGAAAAAACAAGUCUUUAAUCAGGAUAGAGAUAAGUCCAGUAUUUGAUUCUUUACUCAGAGUCUGGCACCACAGGGUAUAAACCCAGGACCCUGGGGAUAUUAUCCUUGGAAGUGCCACUGCACUAGAUGAAGACUCCAAGGAACAAAAGAAUUUGGGCAACCUAUAUAACAUUUGGGGGAAAUCCAGGGGCAGGGAAAUAUGAUUGACAUCACUAUAGCUACAAAGAAAAUGGGAGUGUUCAAACUACACAGACAGGAUACAGUCAAAUUUGGGAAAAGAAUGAUAGCCAGAGGCUAGGGUCUAAGGGAAGGGGCUAUUUACAAUGAAUAUUAAAUAGGUAGUCCCUGGCCAGGUGUGGUUCUUCUUGGGAAAAGGUCUCUGAUAUAAUAGGGGAGACUACCUAAAACAAAGAGGGUCCUUAGCGUAUGCUUAGUCCCAUCCAACUAGGGAUUGUCAUUCACCAGAGGGUCCACCACUAGUCUGAAACUGCUAUCUUGGGAUACCCUUCAGGGUGGAUUCCCAGGAAAACAGGGAAUAAGUACAAACUUUGGGGUCUCCAACCUACAAGCUAGUCCUGAAACCUGGGGUUCACCUGAUCCCACUAGGUCAUAAGUUUGGGGUUUCUAGAUUCCAUCUUGACAUACCUGAGGGGUGUAAAGGAUUGAAGAGACCCUAAAUAGAAUCCUGCUAUUUGAUGUUCAGACUAGCCUGGUGGCAGUUGAGAGUCAGCUGAGGAUUCUGGGAGAGAACUGGGAGCUUAGGGAAAUUCUGACCAGAUCAUCACUUCCAGCCUUGGAAGAAAAAGGGAGAGGAGCUUUUCCAGAGGGCAGAGGAGAACUGAAGCCCCAAGAGGAAGGAGAGUCUGACUCUCACUUGUUGGUGUACAUGCUUCAUCUAGAAAUCCUUCCACAACCCCUCCUUCACCUGACUACAACUACUCAAAACUCAGAAGGAGUUUGUUUGGACUCUUUGACCAGAGCCAUUCUGCCCUCUUCUUUGGGAAGCAAGAGAGAUGAGAAGCAGCACUUCAAGGAUUCAGUCCUUUUUGUUGUUGAUAUGAUGUGUAGCAAAAUGGUUUGGUGAAUAUAAUGUUGGACAUGAAGCCAGGAACCCCAAGUUCAGAUAUCACCACAAAAUCCUGCUAGCUCUGUGCUGGGUAAGUCAUUUUCCCUCUGCUUGCCCCAGUUUACUUCAUCUAAUAAUAGCACCCACCUCCAAGGACUAUUGUGAGGAUAAAGCUACAUCUUAUUUGUAAAGCCCUAUCUAAACCUUAAAGUACUAUAUAAACGACAUUCUUAUUAUCUUUGCUCUAAUUGUUGUUACCCUCUCCUUUCUGAUUCACACUAUUCUCAAUU
ensembl:lncRNA